UACAGAGGAGCCAAGCGUUGUCCGGAUUGACUGGGCGGAAAGCGCACGCAGGCGGAUGCGCGCGUGGGGUGUGAAAUCUGGCCGCUUAACGGCCAGGCGCCAUCCCAUACGGCGCGUCUGGAGUGAUGCAGAGGUCGAUGGAAUUGCCGGUGUAGUGGUGAAAUGCGUAGAGAUCGGCAGGAACACCCAGGGGGAAACCAGUCGACUGGGCAUCUACUGACGCUGAGGUGCGAGAGCGUGGGGAGCGAACCGG
rnacentral:rRNA from 1 species